GUCCGUUCACUACUAAGAGUAACGAAGCAUAUAGAAACUACAUCGUUUAUAAAACUUCAGUGAUGUGUAUCUUAUAAACAAACUUUUAACAUCAAUUUAUCGGUGCAAAGCGGAUUAUUUAGUGUAUUUUCACUGGAUUUACAGAUAAAUAUCCAUAUUGACAAAGAUGGAGCCUAAAUCUUCACAAGUAUCGUACGAGGUUAGCAAACCACAGUUGAAUGAUCGCAUGGAAACAGUUCUUGGUUUAAGGGGAUUUCAAGACCCCGACACACCCUUGUCAACGUUUGAUAAAAUCAACUUUGGUAUCCUGGUUGUGUUUUUGUAUGCAUCGUUUAUUGUGGCCGUUGUGCUUACAGCUAUAUACAACUAAACUACAUUAACAUAGUGUUCAUAUAUUAAACAGAUCGACUACUUUGAAUACAUAGGUACUAGAAAUGUCAAAAUAUUCUGAUACAAUAUUACAAGAGGAGUCAACUAAAAACUGCAGAAAAAGUGAUAGUGAUACAAAAUGAAAUAUCGAACAUUUACAUUAAAAAUACCUUAUGCCAAAAUAGUAAUAUGUAUAUAUAUGAAAGUAUAUAUAUUUAACUUUGUUCCAGCAUUCAAUUAAACGAAAAAUGCUCUAAUAUCCCAGCACACAAUACAUGCUUGAUUCAUUUCUCUAUCAAACGUUUCGAAAGCUAAGCUGAAUAUGUUUUACUGUGGCCUGACCUUUAAAAUAAUAGUAUGAGAGAAAAUUGCAGUGAUUUUCCGCAGUAAUUUUGAUACAUUACGAACUGUAUUCAGUUGAUUUAUGUGUCAGUGUUUUAAAAGCGACACUACUAUACUUUUAUUGUAUUAUCUCAGAAAUUAUGCUUUUUGAAAACACUCAAAGCAUUUGAGACAAUAACAUUUAGCAGGCCGACUUGCAAUUACCAUUAAAACAGUUUUUAAUUAUCAUGUAUGCUACGUUUUUUAUCUGAUUUUGAAAGCUACUCACUGAAGUGCUUACACAUGUUUUCUUGUGAAACAAAAAUAACUGUAUAUCUACACAUUCUCAUAUAAAUUGAGCUUGGUAUCGGAAUGAAUUACAAAAAAAAAAAUAAUUAUCAUGUUUUUUGCUUAAAAUAAACACUAAGUAUGCACUUAAAUGUGAGCCUGAGAACCAACAUACUAUGAAAUAUUUCAUCACAAAUGUUUACCUGAAGCUAUAUCGUGCAUGACAUUAACAACAAAUUAUAUUUUACAUCUGUUGAUGAAGCCCUACACAAGCUUUACAGGUGCUUAAUCAGAUCUUGUGCAAGUAACAGAUUAGUUCGAAACUUUGAUAUUUGAUCAUAUACACUUAUUUAUGUUCAUGCGUGUUAUAUUUCCUUAAAAUUUGAUUUUUCUUUUCUGGCUGCCCAGAAUAUUAGCAUAAACAUAAAUUUGAUAAACAAACUUUGCAAAAACAUAUAUUAUUAUAAGACAUGUUGUAUUAUAUUCGCUUAAGAUUUGCAUUAAUACUGGUAUAUUUUGCUAUUUUGUUUGAAAUGUCAUAAAAUAAUUAUACUUAACUAGUCAAGGAAGUAUCAAAUUUCAAAAUGAAAAUUCACAUGAAGGGAAGAAUAUCAACCAGUAGAAUCAAACAAAAAGUUGAUAUCCCACCUCAUAGUCCUCUGACUGUUUGUUGUGUCCAUUUCUUGAUUUUAUAUCAGUCAGCUUGAUAACCUUGUGUUUACUACUUUACACUGUUUCUGUGGUGUAAUAUAUUUCAGUUGUCUCAAAAGAUUUUUGCGAGUCUCCGUAUCUUCAAUGUAUUCGUAUAGAGUUUCGAUUUAUUUUUUGCACGAACGAAUACUGUGAUGGUGAAACUUUGAAAGUACGAUAUUGAAAAAACUACGAUGUUCACAAAUCGGAACAGCGCAAUCACGAAACUUAUCACCACCGUUGUUUCGUUAUUUGAUUUUUUAAAAACGUAGUUUCGUUUUUUCUUUAUACACUAACGGGACACCAUAAGUAACCCGUAUAGAUGACUCUGUUUCUCUUGAUACUCUGACUUCAGUAAAAACAUUCAGUUCA